CUGAAAAUAGCUCCACAUCCAACCUGACAGAGCUUAAGAGGAUCUGUAGAGAAGAAAUGUAGGUGUGCCAAUCGUGUAGCAUUAUACCCAAGAAGACUCAAGGCUGUAAUCGCUGCCAAAGUUUCUUCAACAAAGUACUGAGUAAAGGGUCUGAAUACUCAUGUAAAUUUGAUAUUUCCGUUUUUUAUUUUUAAUACAUCUGCAAAAAUGUCCAAAAACCUGUUUUUGCUUCGUCAUUAUGGAGUAUUGUGUGUAAAUUCAUGAGGGGAAUAUUUAAAUUUUAAUUUUUUUUUUUUUUGAAUAAGGCUGUAAAGUAACACAAUGUUGAAAAAGUCAAUUGGUUUGAAUACUUUCCGAAUGCACUGGACAUGUUUAACUUCGAUAGCUGAGCAGUUUGGUGCUUUAUUCCUAUAGGAGAGAUCAGCAGGUUGGUUCUCUAUUCCUAUAGGAGAGAUCAGCAGGUUGGUUCUCUAUUCCUAUAGGAGAGAUCAGCAGUUUGGUUCUCUAUUCUUAUAGGAGAGAUCAGCAGUUUGGUUCUCUAUUCCUAUAGGAGAGAUCAGCAGGUUGGUUCUCUAUUCCUAUAGGAGAGAUCAGUAGUUU
ensembl:lncRNA